rnacentral:rRNA from 1 species
GACAACAGUUGGAAACGACUGCUAAUACCGCAUAAGCCCACGGGUCGGCAUCGAGCAGAGGGAAAAGGAGCAAUCCGCUUUGAGAUGGCCUCGCGUCCGAUUAGCUAGUUGGUGAGGUAACGGCCCACCAAGGCAACGAUCGGUAGCCGGACUGAGAGGUUGAACGGCCACAUUGGGACUGAGACACGGCCCAGACUCCUACGGGAGGCAGCAGUGGGGAAUAUUGCACAAUGGGGGAAACCCUGAUGCAGCGACGCCGCGUGGAGGAAGAAGGUCUUCGGAUUGUAAACUCCUGUUGUUGAGGAAGAUAAUGACGGUACUCAACAAGGAAGUGACGGCUAACUACGUGCCAGCAGCCGCGGUAAAACGUAGGUCACAAGCGUUGUCCGGAAUUACUGGGUGUAAAGGGAGCGCAGGCGGGAAGACAAGUUGGAAGUGAAAUCCAUGGGCUCAACCCAUGAACUGCUUUCAAAACUGUUUUUCUUGAGUAGUGCAGAGGUAGGCGGAAUUCCCGGUGUAGCGGUGGAAUGCGUAGAUAUCGGGAGGAACACCAGUGGCGAAGGCGGCCUACUGGGCACCAACUGACGCUGAGGCUCGAAAGUGUGGGUAGCAAACAGGAUUAGAUACCCUGGUAGUCCACACCGUAAACGAUGAUUACUAGGUGUUGGAGGAUUGACCCCUUCAGUGCCGCAG